ensembl:rRNA 5S_rRNA 5S ribosomal RNA
ACUUACGGCCACACCGCCUGGUUAACGCCCCGAUCUCGUUUGAUCUCGGAAGAUAAGAUAGGUUGGGCCUGGUUAGUACUUUGAUGGGAGACCGCCUGGGAAUACCAGGUGCUGUAAGCU